UGAAUGGCGGCCGUAACUCUAACGGUCCUAAGGUAGCGAAAUUCCUUGUCGGCUAAAUACCGACCCGCAUGAAAGGCGUAACGACUUGGGCACUGUCUCAACGAGAAGCUCGGUGAAAAUGUAGCACCCGUGAAGAUGCGGGUUCCGCGCAGUAGGACGGAAAGACCCCGUGGAGCUUUACUACACCUUAAGAUUGCGAAUUGGGUGUAGAUGUAGAGUGUAGGUGGGAGCUUCGGCGCCAAUGGAACACCACCCUUCUGCAUCUGGUUCGCUAACCUGUACCCUGAUCGGGUAUGGAGACCGUCUUAGGCGGGUAGUUUGACUGGGGCGGUCGCCUCCCAAAUUGUAACGGAGGCGCUCAAAGUUCCCCUCAGGCUGGUUGGAAAUCAGCCGUCGAGCGUAUACGUAUAGAGGGGGAUUGACUGCGAGACCUACAAGUCGAGCAGGGACGAAAGUCGGAGUAAGUGACCCUCUGGUGGUGCGUGGGCACGCCAGGGUUCAUCGGAUAAAAGCUACCCCGGGGAUAACAGGCUGAUCUUGCCCGAGCGCUCAUAGCGACGGCAUGGUUUGGCACCUCGAUGUCGGCUCGUCACAUCCUGGGGCUGUACAAGGUCCCAAGGGUUCCGGAGUUCACGGAUUAAAGUGGCACGCGAGCUGGGUUCAGAACGGCGUAAGCCAGUUCGGUCCCUAUCCACUGUGCGCGUAGGAAAUUUGAGGGGAGUCGCUCUUAGUACGAGAGGACCGGAGCGAACUGACCUCUGGUGUACCUGUUGUGCCGCCAGGCGCAGACGCAGGGUAGCCACGUCGGGAAGUGAUAAGCGCUGAAAGCAUCUAAGCGCCAAGCACACCCCAAGAUUAGAUUUCCCACUUAGGGUAAGGCCCCCGGUAGACCACCGGGUUGAUAGGCCGCAGGUGUAAGCAUGGCGACAUGUUCAGCUAAGCGGUACUAAUUGGCCGAGGGCUUAUCGAAA
rnacentral:rRNA from 1 species